rnacentral:rRNA from 1 species
CCUACGGGAGGCAGCAGUGAGGAAUAUUGGUCAAUGGACGAGAGUCUGAACCAGCCAAGUAGCGUGAAGGAUGACUGCCCUAUGGGUUGUAAACUUCUUUUAUAUGGGAAUAAAACGUUCCACGUGUGGGAUUUUGUAUGUACCAUAUGAAUAAGGAUCAGCUAACUCCGUGCCAGCAGCCGCGGUAAUACGGAGGAUCCGAGCGUUAUCCGGAUUUAUUGGGUUUAAAGGGAGCGUAGGUGGAUUGUUAAGUCAGUUGUGAAAGUUUGCGGCUCAACCGUAAAAUUGCAGUUGAAACUGGCAGUCUUGAGUACAGUAGAGGUGGGCGGAAUUCGUGGUGUAGCGGUGAAAUGCUUAGAUAUCACGAAGAACUCCGAUUGCGAAGGCAGUUCACUGGACUGCAACUGACACUGAGGCUCGAAAGUGUGGGUAUCAAACAGGAUUAGAUACCCCAGUAGUC